rnacentral:rRNA from 2 species
ACAUGCAAGUCGAGCGAACUGAUUAGAAGCUUGCUUCUAUGACGUUAGCGGCGGACGGGUGAGUAACACGUGGGCAACCUGCCUGUAAGACUGGGAUAACUCCGGGAAACCGGAGCUAAUACCGGAUAACAUUUUUUCUUGCAUAAGAGAAAAUUGAAAGAUGGUUUCGGCUAUCACUUACAGAUGGGCCCGCGGUGCAUUAGCUAGUUGGUGAGGUAACGGCUCACCAAGGCAACGAUGCAUAGCCGACCUGAGAGGGUGAUCGGCCACACUGGGACUGAGACACGGCCCAGACUCCUACGGGAGGCAGCAGUAGGGAAUCUUCCGCAAUGGACGAAAGUCUGACGGAGCAACGCCGCGUGAGUGAUGAAGGCUUUCGGGUCGUAAAACUCUGUUGUUAGGGAAGAACAAGUACAAGAGUAACUGCUUGUACCUUGACGGUACCUAACCAGAAAGCCACGGCUAACUACGUGCCAGCAGCCGCGGUAAUACGUAGGUGGCAAGCGUUAUCCGGAAUUAUUGGGCGUAAAGCGCGCGCAGGCGGUUUCUUAAGUCUGAUGUGAAAGCCCACGGCUCAACCGUGGAGGGUCAUUGGAAACUGGGGAACUUGAGUGCAGAAGAGAAAAGCGGAAUUCCACGUGUAGCGGUGAAAUGCGUAGAGAUGUGGAGGAACACCAGUGGCGAAGGCGGCUUUUUGGUCUGUAACUGACGCUGAG